AUUGAACGCUGGCGGCAGGCUUAACACAUGCAAGUCGAGCGGGGAAAGGUAGCUUGCUACCUGACCUAGCGGCGGACGGGUGAGUAAUGCUUAGGAAUCUGCCUAUUAGUGGGGGACAACAUCUCGAAAGGGAUGCUAAUACCGCAUACGUCCUACGGGAGAAAGCAGGGGACCUUCGGGCCUUGCGCUAAUAGAUGAGCCUAAGUCGGAUUAGCUAGUUGGUGGGGUAAAGGCCUACCAAGGCGACGAUCUGUAGCGGGUCUGAGAGGAUGAUCCGCCACACUGGGACUGAGACACGGCCCAGACUCCUACGGGAGGCAGCAGUGGGGAAUAUUGGACAAUGGGGGGAACCCUGAUCCAGCCAUGCCGCGUGUGUGAAGAAGGCCUUUUGGUUGUAAAGCACUUUAAGCGAGGAGGAGGCUACCGAGAUUAAUACUCUUGGAUAGUGGACGUUACUCGCAGAAUAAGCACCGGCUAACUCUGUGCCAGCAGCCGCCGUAA
rnacentral:rRNA from 1 species